rnacentral:tRNA from 1 species
AGGGGUAUAGUUCAGUGGGAGAACGUCGGUCUCCAAAACCGGAUGUCGCGGGUUCAAAUCCUGCUGCCCCUGCCA